AGCUUCUAGUCUUGAAGAUAAUCUUCUUUCCACUUUUCUGACCUACGGUCAAUCCAUCGAAAACCUCUGAAAGGAUUAUCGUUAGACUACCUAACGGUAAAACUACUGUUUUUCAUUAGGUUUACUUGCCUCUAUGCUUUACCUUAACAUACAAUGCUAUUGUAGGCUACAUAGCUUUGAUCACGAGUUUCCGUGCUGGCUGGACUACGCUUCUUAUCCAAACAAUACGGCUAUCUCCCUUCAGUGCGUUAGCUUCCCUUCAACCGGACCUGCUAAACAUUCUUCUUACGGGAAACUAACGCUACGUACGAGGUAGUCGAGUCUUGUUUUGCCUUUUAUUGUUUAAGUAGAUAACACAGAAGCUAAAAUAUUGGCACAUGAUAUAUGUUAUAUGAAGUUAUGGGAGUUAAAAAAAAUUCUAAAUGAAUGGGCGUUCUAUGGGGUUAGCAGAGAGUUGAUAACCACCGCUACAUCGAUGCUUCUACUUCCGGGAAUUCGCCUGCCCCCUUGCAUGUAAUUCCCAUUUCUUCUUGAAGCCGAAAUAAAUCUGAG